CGUACACUCCUACGGGAGGCAGCAGUGGGGAAUAUUGGACAAUGGGCGCAAGCCUGAUCCAGCCAUGCCGCGUGAGUGAUGAAGGCCCUAGGGUUGUAAAGCUCUUUCACCGGUGAAGAUAAUGACGGUAACCGGAGAAGAAGCCCCGGCUAACUUCGUGCCAGCAGCCGCGGUAAUACGAAGGGGGCUAGCGUUGUUCGGAUUUACUGGGCGCAAAGCGCACGUAGGCGGACUAUUAAGUCAGGGGUGAAAUCCCGGGGCUCAACCCCGGAACUGCCUUUGAUACUGGUAGUCUUGAGUUCGAGAGAGGUGAGUGGAAUUCCGAGUGUAGAGGUGAAAUUCGUAGAUAUUCGGAGGAACACCAGUGGCGAAGGCGGCUCACUGGCUCGAUACUGACGCUGAGGUGCGAAAGCGUGGGGAGCAAACAGGAUUAGAAACCCCAGUAGUCCCAUGAU
rnacentral:rRNA from 1 species